rnacentral:lncRNA from 1 species
GUGCGUGUCCCAUCGAUGCAAAGAAAUGGUAAUCAGACGGAGCCAAGUCUGGCCGGGAUAGGUUCUGCUACGGGUGUAGAACACGUCGCUGCUGGGCUACUGUGCUGUUUUCCUUCUCAUUUUUGUAUCGUGGAAGAAAAAUCGGACUGCGACGUAACCUAAGGUUCGUAACCUAAGGCGCUAACCAC